CCUACGGGAGGCAGCAGUGAGGAAUAUUAGUCAAUGGACGAGAGUCUGAACCAGCCAAGUAGCGUGAAGGAUGACUGCCCUAUGGGUUGUAAACUUCUUUUAUAUGGGAAUAAAAUGUUCCACGUGUGGGAUUUUGUAUGUACCAUAUGAAUAAGGAUCGGCUAACUCCGUGCCAGCAGCCGCGGUAAUACGGAGGGUCCGAGCGUUAUCCGGAUUUAUUGGGUUUAAAGGGAGCGUAGGUGGAUUGUUAAGUCAGUUGUGAAAGUUUGCGGCUCAACCGUAAAAUUGCAGUUGAAACUGGCAGUCUUGAGUACAGUAGAGGUGGGCGGAAUUCGUGGUGUAGCGGUGAAAUGCUUAGAGAUCACGAAGAACUCCGAUUGCGAAGGCAGUUCACUGGACUGCAACUGACACUGAGGCUCGAAAGUGUGGGUAUCAAACAGGAUUAGAUACCCCAGUAGUC
rnacentral:rRNA from 1 species